UCUCUUUCAAAUAUCAUCAAUAUCAAAUAAUAUAAAUUAGCCCUCAAUUGACUUGAACUCUAGUUUAAUCGAUUCAAUUGAACUCGAUUUACUAGAGCCUAACUGAACUGAUCUCUAAUCCUUAUUUAACUGGUCUGGAACCACCCUAGACUAGUAUAAUUUAGACUAGAUUAAGUUCAAUUUAGGUUAAACUAACUUGAAUAAGUCAAUCAAUUCGGAAUCACCCUGAAUUGAUCUAGACUAAUCAAGU
rnacentral:lncRNA from 1 species